GCCAGGCACAGUGGCCUGUAAUCCUAGCACUUUGGGAGGCCGAGGCGGGCAGAUCACCUGAGGUCGGGAGCCCGAGACCAGCCUGACCAACAUGGUGAAACUCCGUCUCUACUAAAAAUACAAAAAAAAAUUAGAGGGACAUGGUGGCACAUGCCUGUAAUCCCAGCUAUUCGGGAAGCUGAGGCAGGUGAAUCGCUUGAACCUGGGAGGCGCUGGCUGCGGUGAGCCGAGAUCACACCAUUGCCCUCCAGCCUGGGCAACAACAGGGAAACUCUGUCUCAAAAAAAAAAAAAAAAAAAGUAGCUUUUCUGGAAAGGGAACUGUAUAAACUAAUUGAUUUUCUCCCUUUCCUGGUGGCUGAUUUUCUAAUUACUUAAUCGCUCCUCAUGUGGUAUAGUUAUCCCUCAGUAUCUGUGUGGGAUUGGUUCCAAGACUCCCAGGAUGCUCAAGCCCCUUACAUAAAAUCGUGUAGUACGUACAGAUAACAUACGCACAUUCUCCCGUACACUUUAAGUCACCUCCUGGUUAGUUAUAAUACUCAGUACGAUGCAAAUUCCAUGUAAAUGGUUGUUAUGCUGUAUUGUUUAGGGAACAAUAGCGAGAACAAAAAACACGUACAUGCAACCACAAUUUUUGGUUUUUAUUUUUUUUGGAACACUGUAUUUUCAAUUUGAUGAUGGUUUAAUCCACAGAUGUGGAACCCACACACAUGGAGGGCUGACUAUACAUGUGGUGUGUACUCGUCCUCUUGUUCUAUGACAUUUAGGAUUAAUUUUUUUUUAACAGAUAAACUUAGUUUUUUUACUCAAAAACAAUUUCAGGCCCCAAGGGUGGUAGUUAGAAAUCAUUCAUCUCAUUUAACCCUUUUCAAGACAGACGAGAACACUGAUGCCUGCGGCUGUCAUAAGUGACAGGCCAGGAAUGGAAUCUCAGCUUCUGACUGUGCAUUCAGCUCUAACUGCUGUACUCACUGCCCUGCCAGCUAUGGUUUCACAAGCAUUCAUACAUUCCUUUAAAAAACUAUAAACUCACCUAAUGACAAAUUAUUUAUGCUAAGAAAUGAUAAAACCCAGUAAGAAGAGCAAAGAGGUUUUUUAAAAAGUUAAAAGUGGUAUAUUUCAUAGUAAAAGCCUUUAUACAGUAACACCUUAUCUUUAAAAAUAUUCAUUGACAAAAGCAAAAAUAUCAUUAAAUAUAUAAUCUUCUAAAUCUAAAUCUGUGAUGAAUGAAUGAGGAAAUGCAUGCAAGAGAAAUUACUAGUGCUGACCAAAGAAGAAACAAGCUAGGUCAGGUCAUAAAGGCCUGCCCGAUAGUGUCGCCUUUAAUAUCUUUCCCAUAUAGAGGAAUAAGAAGAUAAUUUCACUUGACGAUAAGGUUACCCAUUUGGGAUCUAUAUUCUGGUAGAUUUUACAAUCUGUAUGAUACAGCAUAUGUUACUAGGGAGACAGCAAAUAUAGUGGUUAUGGGUAUGGAUGUUAUGGGUAUGGAUGAAUUAUGUCAGACAGAUCUUCAAUCCAGGCUUCUUACUUAUUAUAGGAACUGAAGUAAAGUAUUCAUUCUCUAGACUCAGUUUCCUCCUGUGUACAAAAGAGAAAACAGGCCAGGCGUGGUGGCUCACGCCUGUAAUCCCAGCACUUUGGGAGGCCAAGGUGGGUGGAUCACAAGGUCAGGAGUUUUAGAUAAGCGUGAUCAACAUGGUGAAACCCCAUCUCUACUAAAAAUACAAAAAGUAGCCAGGUGUGGUGGCGUGUGCCUGUAAUCCCAGCUACUCAGGAGGCUGAGGCAGGAGAAUCACUUGAACCCGGGAGGCGGAGAUUGCAGUGAGGAGAGAUAGCGCCACUGCGCUCCAGCCUGGGCGACAGAGUGAGACUCAGUCUUUUAAAAAAAAAAAAAAAAGAGAGAGAGAGAGAAAAGAAUGCCUAUUUCCUAAGGUUGUUGUCCAGACUGAAUGAGGUACUGACUAUAAAGAAUUUAGCACAGUGGUUGGGUGGGGUGGCUCACAACUGUAAUCCUAGCACUUUGGGAGGCCGAGGCAGGAGGAUCACCUGAGGUCAGGAGUUCAAGACCAGCCUGGCCAACAUGAUGAAACUCCGUCUCUACCAAAAAAUACAAAAAUUAGCCAGGCAUGGUGGCACGCACCUGUAGUCCCAGCUACUUGGGAGGCUGAGGCACGAGAAUCACUUAAACCUGGGAGGCAGAGGUUGCAGUGAGCCGAGAUCACGCUACUGCACUCCAGCCCGGGCAACAGAGCAAGACUGUGUCUGGGAAAAAACAAAAACAAAAACAAAAACAAACAACAACAACAACAAGAAUUUAGCACAGUGUCUGGCAUGUGGAAAGCACUCUAUAAAUGUUAGCUAUUUUACUAUUUCAUCACAGAUUCUUAUAGGACAGUGGCCACCACUUACGUAUGUACUCCAGAAUCUGACACACUGUAAGCAUUUAACAUUAAAUAAUCCAAAAUAUAAUAGCUAGUUAUGGUUUUACCAAAAACAAAAUUUAGGUCAUUAUUAAACAAAAAUGCUAAGGAUCAGGCAUAUGGCACGUUUCCUAAAGCAUCCUGUAUAGAACCAUCUCUACCAUUCAGUAAAUUAUAGAAGAGGAAAUUGUUUUCUUCCGUAUGAAGCUUUAUGGAAAUCAUGACUAACAAUGCAUUGUAUUCUAGAUAUUUACUUUUAUUACUCUGAGAGUAUCUGUGACCAACAGUGGAAAUACAAGCAAAAGGAUGUGCACAGGAAUUUUAGGACAGUCUGUCUUAACACCUUAGCAGCAAACAGAACUUGUACUCCUCCAGCCUCCUUUCUCUCUCCCUGUCCCCUUUUCUUUCCCUUUCUCUCCUCCCUCAAAGACACUAUGUCUCACCCUCUUCCCCUCCCUUGUCUUCCCAGUUGUCUAUGCUGGUGUGUCCUGUAUUAACAAAAUGGGCCAUAAGCCUGAGCCUUGGGGUUAUCACAGAGAAUUUAGCUUCACUCACUCUUGGGCCAAUUUCACUAUAAAGAGUUUUAUUUCCAGUAGAUUUCCAAAAUUAAAUGAUCAUUAUACCACAGUGUCUUAGUCUGUUUUCGUGUUGCUAUAAAGAAAAUACCUGAGGCUGGGUAGUCUAUAAAGAAAUGGCGCAGCCAGGCAUGGUGGCUCACUGCCUGUAAUCCCAGCACUUUGGGAGGCCAAGGAUGGGUGGACUGCUUGAGCUCAGGAGUUUGAGAUCAGCUUAGGCAACAUCUUUGUAGAGAUGGCAAAACCCCAUCUCUACAAAAAAUACAAAAAUUAGCCAGGCAUGGUGGCACAUGCCUGUGGUCUCAGCUACUAGGGAGACUGAGGUGAAGGACUGCUUGAGCCCAAGGAGAUUGAGGCUGCAAUAAGCCAACAUUGCACCACUGCACUCCAGCCUGGGUAACAGAGACUCUGUCCCACACCCCCCACCCACCCUCCCCGAAAAAAAAGAAAGAAAAAGAAAAGAAAUAGUUGGCGGCUAUACUACGCAAGAGGCAUGGCGCCAGCAUCUACUUCUGGUGAGAGCUUCAGGCUGCUUCCUCUCAUGGCAGAAGGCUAGCCAAUUAGAGAUCACAUAGCAAGAGAGAGGAACGAAGAGGGUAGGGGAGUGGUGCCAGACUCUUUUUAACAACUAGCUCUUGUGGGAACUCAUAAAGGGAGAACUCACCCAUUACCUCUAGGAGGGCACCAAGCCAUUAACGAGGGAUCUGCCCCCAUAACCCAAAUAUCUCCCAAUAAGCCCCACCUCCAACAUUAGGAAUCAAAUUUCAACAUGAGGUUUGGGGACAAAGAGCCAAACUAGCACACAGCAACCAGAUCUUGAAUCUUCUUUGGCCUCAUUAAAAUGAAGGCUGAUCCCUGUACUACUCCUUCCCCAGCCCCUGAGCUACCCGGGGCAGACCUUCCAAACUCCCAAGAACCUAUUGUGAGCCAAGGAUGUCAACAAAGCUAACAAUUGACACAGUAUCAAUGGUAUUUGGAUCACGGCAGCUUCUAUCCCAAUUAAGCCUAUACACCCGGCCACUGUUUUUAAAAAACACACUUCAGCACAGUCUUGACUAUGACAUUCAGUCUGGAAUAAGGGCAAUCCUGAAAUGCUUGUUGAAUGAGUCAAGCUCAUCUUUUUUCUGAGUUUAAAUAGAAUAACUAUGGAGCAUAGUGGACUGGAACCACCAGGCACUAGUCAGGUGUCUACUGCUGAUCAAAUGUAAUCUGAGAGGGCCCUUAAUCUCUGAGCCUCAGUCUCUUUACCAUAAAUAUGUCUAAGGUCCCUUCAAGAACUAACGUGACAUGAUAUUCUGUCAGUCUUGACUAAAUGUUCUGCUUAUUUGAAUUCAGAUCAUGGUCUCCACCGUCUCUACGCUCUUUUGAAAACCACACCCAACACAACCAAAGCUAAAAAUAGCUAGAGAGAGACACUAAGGAAAAGAUCUAAACAAAGUUCUAUGGCAGAGAUCUCAUCCAUCAGACUUCGACAACUAUUAGGAGGGCUGAAUCCAGGCUACCAAGGGAACACUUUAAGAAUAUUCUGGUCAUCACAUAAUUUGUAGACUCAUGUAAACUUAUAUUCAUUCCCUUAUUAAACACUGUGUACUGUAUAUAAGGUACUACGAAAGAGGCAAAGUCCCUUCUCUCUUAGAGGGCUUGUAUAUUUAUUUUACUUAAUCAAGGCCUUAUCAUGUCCUUCAUUUUCCCAUUGCUCAAAAGAUUGACUGCUGUAAAUUAAGCCAUGUGUACUCCUACAGCCAGGUCUUAAAGGAAAUAAAAGCUAUAAAAUAAGAUUUCAAAAUGAUGUCUGCCUUCCCUGACAUCAACUAAUUGCAUGAUUUACCUCCAUUUAUACCUCCUUUCUUCUACAUGCAAUAAAGAAUCUCGUUUUGAAACCUUUUCCUUAUCUUUAAUAUUUAAAGGGAAUUUAAACAUUUCUCCCAAAGGACGUUUUGUUCAUGGGCAAAGUACCUCUUGAAAAUAUACAGUGGGUAGGAGAAGCACAAGAACUUCGAUGUGGUACAGAAAGGACGACAGGUAAUAUGAGUAUAUCAGUAUAUACAUGUGGACAUCACCAUAAAGUUUCUAAGUCCUCCAUUUUAAAAUAUAUUUUUAUGUAUAUAGUUAAAUUAUUUUCAGCUAUUAAGAGUUCUACGUAUUUGAGAUGAAAGAAGUCUCUUCCAUUGCUGUUUAAGCUUGGUUUUACUAGGAGGGUCUAAAAACCAUUUGAAGCCUUGAUAAGUUUUAUUAUAAGGUCUUAGUCUAUUUAACUGUUGUUGUCUUUGAUUUCAAUGUCCCACCACCUGCAGAGUGUGAAUUCUAGGAAUAUGCGUAUGUUAAGAAAGUCUAUGAAGCAACUGGUAGAAUUUAUGUUUAAUAGAAGUCAAUUAAGACCUUCUAGAGGCACGGUGACAACUUGCUAAGAAAGUGUGAUAAAGACAGAUCAGCUCCAGCAAGGCAAAAUAGAAACUUGACUAUCAUUAACUUUGAAAUUAAUGCAGCAAAACAGAAACUACCUUCUGGCUAAUUUGCCUAACACAGUUUCAUGAUCCCCAAAUGUUGCUCUACGGAAAUAGUCAAGAAAAUUCUUAGUUGAGAACAUGAUAUGACAUUCUCCUGUUUUCCUGCCAUGUCACUAUCCACACUCCUUAAUCUCCUCGGUUGCCUCCUCCUCCUCAUCCUCCCCACCUAUGCAUGCUAGAAUGGCCCCAGGGCUCAAUCAUUUGCGUGUCCUCCUCUCUUUUCUAUCUAUACUCAACCCUUAAGUAAUUUCAUGGCUUUAAAUUUAUACCUACAGUCCAGAUCUUCCCCCAAGAGAUGUCUUGUCUAUGUGACAUCUCCAUUUGAAUGUCUAAUGGACACAUCAAACUUAAUACAUCCAAAACUGAACUGAUUUCCAGUCUGAUUCUCCAUCAGUCUUCCUAUUUCAGGAGAGAAGUUUAUAAUUGUUCAGCCCCAAAAUCUUGGAGUCAUCUUUGAUCACUUCUUUGAAUAUGACUACCAUAUUCAUAGAAUUCAUACAUAUUCAUAUAAAUCAUCAGCAAAUCUCGUUGGGCCUACCUUCAACAUCUAUCUAGAAUCUGAGUCCUUCCUGCUGCUUCACCAAGCCAACAACUUCUCUCACCACAAAUACCUUUUUUUUUUUUUUUUUUUUUUUUUUUUUUUUUUUUUUUGAGACAGAGUCUCCCUCUGUUGCCCAGGCUGGAGUGCAGUGGCACGAUCUCAGCUCACUGCAACCUCCACCUCCUGGGUUCAAGCGAUUCUCCUGCCUCAGCCUCCAGAGUAACUGGGAUAUUACAGGCAUGUGCCACCACGCCCAGCUUUUUGUAUUUUCAGGUGAGAUGUGGUUUCACCAUAUUGGCCAGGCUGGUCUUGAACUCCUGACCUCAAGUGAUCCACCUGCCUCGGCCUUCCAAAGUGCUAGGAUUAUAGGCGUGAGCCACAGCAUCCAGCCUCUCACCUCAAAUACUGAAAGAGCUCCCUAACUGGUCUCUUGCCUCUACCCCUGCCCUGAUAUAGUCUACCCAACAUGGCAGCCACAACAGUCAUUUUAGAAGGCACAUCAGAUCUUGUCAUUACUCUGCUCAAAACCUUCCAAUACUUUCCCAUCUCAGAGUUAAAAGCCUAAAAACUGCAUGAGGCCCUAUACAAUCUCCCCUGCCCUUUCUCUUUGAUCUUACCUACUACUCUCCCUCUCCCUCAGCUCCAGCCAUACUGGACUCCUUGCUGUUACCAGCACAAACUAGUGACUGUCCCACUCAGGGUCUUCGCACUUGCUGUUUCUUCUGCGUGCAAUGCUGUGCCCCCAGGUGAUCCAUCUGGCCUGCUUCCUCAUGUCCUUCAAGGCUCUGUUCAAAUGUCACCCUCCCUGUGAGGCCUUCCCUAACCAUCUUAUUUAAAAUCACAACCCCACCAUCCCACCACUCUGCUGGCAUGUCCCUAAAUCCACUCCCCUGCUUUAUUUUUCCUCAUAGCACUUAUUAACAUCUGGAGAACUAUAUACAGUCGGCACUUCACGUGGACUCCGCAUCCACAGAUUCAACCAAGCACAGAUUGAAAAUGUAGUUAGGCCUACAAUGGUUGCAUCUGUACUGAACAUGUACAGACUUCUUUUCUUGUCAUUAUUCCCUAAACAAUACAGUAUAACAACUAUUUACAUAACAUUACAACGUAACAGGUAUUGUAAGUAAUCUAGAGAUGACAAAGUGUACAGGAAAAUGUUCAUAGGUUAUAUACAAAUGCUACAACAUUUUAUUAUAAGAGACUUCAGCAUCCGAGGAUUUUGGUGUGGGGGACACUCUAGAAUCCAUCCCCCAUGGUUACGGAGAGAUGAUUGUAUUUUCAUUAUCUCUUUACACUAGAACGUAUGCUCCAUGAUGGCAGGGAUUUCUGACUGCUUUCUUCACAGCUGUCCCCAGUGCCUAAAAAACCGACUACAGAUAGAUGCUUUCAAAACUGUUGGAUGAAUGAUACUGAAAUAUUACAAGGCAAAAUACAUUAUUACCUGAAUACAUUAAAUAUUAUGAGAAGCAGAAAUCCCAAUCACCCACACUCACACAGUUUUGCAAAAAGAGACAUCAUAGUUUGUUUCUUAAAAAUGCAUUAAAGUCUAAUUGAUGGUUUUGUUAACAUCAUUCUCUCUGUGCCUAAAGAGUCCUAGGUCACACCUAAAAGGUACAGUUUUAGCUUCAGUAGGCAAACGGAAAAGAAAAAUACAGGCUUUUUUCCUUUCAUUAGUCAUCACUGACAGAAGGCCUCCAAGUGACCCUGGUGCCACAAAUGUUUAGGAUCUUUAGGGAAGAAAGGAGUCUAGAAAAAUAACAAUAUUCCUUCACCAAUCUCGAGAAGAAUCUCUCCAAAUCUCUCUGCAGACAUUUUUUCUUCAUAUCCUUUAACAAAGCCAUUCUUAACAUGUACAUGAAAUCUUAGUUGAAGAAACAAUGUGAUUACAUAAUUACACAUACGGAAAAACUUGGUAUUCUAUUAUCUCUCCAAAUUUUUUUUUAACUAAAACUAGACUUACAGUUUUUGUUGAAAAUGUUUUGUGUUUCUACCUCCGAAGAAUAUGAAAAAAAGAAAAUGUUUUGCUCUGAAGCUGAGUUAAGAAGAAGAUAGCCAAGACGUGGGUUGAUGGGGACUGUAUUUUAAGGCUGAACAGUUUUGUUUACUAUUGUUUAUUAUUUAAUAUAUUCUUCCCAGUCUCCCCACCCCCACCAAAGGAAAAGCGAAAAAUUUACGUUAGUGCAAUCAAUAAGGAAUUAUUUGUCCAAAGGAAGUUGUUCUGAAAGGCUAUGACCUAAGUCUUUAACACAAAGUUCAGGCGGUAGAUGUCACUUCUCUCACCCAUUUAACAACAACAACAAAUCAAGAUUCAGAUCCCGCGGAGGCAAGCAGAAAGGAACAGGCGUGAAAAAUGAAAUCAGUUGUUUCUCCCCGGCCUCCUCUCGACACUGCGCACUCCGCUGCCCUGCCCCCGCCCAUCGCCCUUUAGCGGCCCCUUUUAACGGCGUCGUUUGCCCAGCACAGCCCCGCACUGCGCCAUCAAAUGAGUCAAGCGGAAGGACCGGUACCCCUCCGGGAAAACCAGGCACUAACACACGGUGCACCCAACUGAAUUUAAACUCGGGAACAGUGUAGGCAGUGUCAACAAAGCGCGGUGCUGGGUCCCGAGCGUCCAAAGGUCCCUGCCAGCUCCCAGACGCGGCCAAAUCCACAGGAUUCCAAAAGUACAGACGGGGUUUCACCGUAUUAGCCAGGAUGGUCUCAAUCUUCUAACCUCGUGAUCUGCCCACCUCGGCCUCGCAAAGCGCUGGGAUUACAGGCGUGAGCCUCCGCGACCGGCCAGAACUAGCUCUUCUUAAGGAUGUGACAGUGAUCUGCACUAGAGCUUCAGGCAGCUAAGGAUAUCUGAAAAGGAGAGACUCUAUGGAGUGUGGAUGUAGAAAAGGAGUUAUUCCUACCGGAAAAAAAUGAACUGUGGACACAGUCACUCAAGACCAGAGAAACAACCACUAUGAGUAAGUAGCUUCAAUUUCACUGUUACCAGGAGGGCACACACCAGAAAGCCUGGGACAAAGCCUGGGCUAGAGCCCUCAGGAUUCAUUCUCAGGCUUCCUGGUGCUGUGGUUCAACAGCCUUUGUGGGGAUGGGGAGAACCAGAGACUAUCACCAUCACAUGUAAAAAAUAUUACCACAGCAACAGCUGUCAAAAACCAGCUGGAGCUGAAGUUACACACCAUUUGAAAUCCACACUGUACUUGCUUUCUUGUGAUGGGCUUGAGACAUGUGCAGAGACACCUUAAACAUGUGUAGGUGACCACCCUUUUGAAAGGCAGAGGAGGGCCUCUUCAUGAACUCUUUCUACUCAUUUGUUUUCCUAUCAGUUCACCAUUUCAACUAGAAAAGAUGC
rnacentral:lncRNA from 10 species